UUGGAGGGCAAGUCUGGUGCCAGCAGCCGCGGUAAUUCCAGCUCCAAUAGCGUAUAUUAAAGUUGUUGCAGUUAAAAAGCUCGUAGUUGAAUUUCGGGAUCAAUAUGUUGGUCGUGCCUUGGUACGUACUGGCGUCAUUGGUUUCUACCUUCUGAAGAACCUCGAUGUCAUUAAUUUGGUGUCUUGGGGAAUCAGGACUGUUACUUUGAAAAAAUUAGAGUGUUUAAAGCAAGCUCACGCUUGAAUACAUUAGCAUGGAAUAAUGAAAUAGGACGUUUGAUUCUAUUUUGUUGGUUUCUAGGACCGACGUAAUGAUUAAUAGGGAUAGUUGGGGGCAUUAGUAUUCAAUUGUCAGAGGUGAAAUUCUUGGAUUUAUUGAAGACUAACUACUGCGAAAGCAUUUGCCAAGGAUGUUUUCAUUAAUCAAGAACGAAAGUUAGGGGAUCGAAGACGAUCAGAUACCGUCGUAGUCUUAACCAUAAACUAUGCCGACUAGGGAUCGGAUGAUGUUAAUUUUUUAAUGUCUCGUUCGGCGCCUUACGGGAAAC
rnacentral:rRNA from 1 species